GCGCGGGUGGCGGAAUGGUAGACGCGCUACGUUGAGGUCGUAGUGCCCGCAAGGGCGUGGGGGUUCAAGUCCCCCUCCGCGCACAA
rnacentral:tRNA from 1 species